AUGGAAAUCGCCAAUGAUAUAUGGACAGCAGCACUUGUGACAGUGGAGCGGACGGACAAACCUGAACCAACGCCCAUACCACCAAAUAUUCAGAAGCUGUUGUUUGAAUACAAGGACGUUUUCGCCGAGCCCUGUACAUUGCCGCCUCGCCGACAGUAUGAUCAUAGCAUCAAUUUGGAGCCCAAUAGUGCACCAAUCAACACAAAACCCUACCGCUAUUCACCAGCUCAGAAAGACGAAAUAGAGAAACAAGUACAGGACAUGCUGGAAUCAGGAGUGAUCGCCCAUAGCUCGAGCCCGUAUGCUGCUCCAGUGCUGUUAGUAAAGAAAAAAGAUGGGAGUUGGCGGUUUUGUGUCGAUUUUCGACGACUGAAUUCGGUUACAGUCAAGAACAAGUUUCCCUUGCCCGUUGUGGGCGAGCUUCUCGAUGAACUGGCCGGUGCUGCAUACUUCUCCAAGAUUGACCUCCGAGCCGGCUACCACCAGAUACGAAUGCGUGAAGAGGAUGAGGAAAAGACAGCCGUCAAGACACACCACGGCCAUUAUCACUUUCGUGUGAUGCCCUUUGGACUGUGCAAUGCUCCAGCCACGUUCCAAUGUCUGAUGAACACCAUCUUCGGGCGCCACGUGCGUAAGUUCAUAAUCAUUUUUCUUGAUGACAUAUUGGUUUUCAGUGAGGAGCUGCAGGAGCACGAAGAGCAUCUACGAGUUACCUCCUCCUCCGCGAGCAUCAGCUGUUCGCCAAGGCCUCCAAGUGCUCGUUUGCGCAAACUAGCAUCGAGUACCUGGGCCAUGUCAUCUCAAAGUACGGCGUCGCUACGGAUCCCAGCAAGACCAGUGCGAUGA
rnacentral:rRNA from 1 species